GGCUACGUAGCUCAGUUGGUUAGAGCACAGCACUCAUAAUGCUGGGGUCGGUGGUUCAAGUCCACCCGUAGCCA
rnacentral:tRNA from 1 species